UUUUGUAUAAUGGGUCAGCGACUUAUAUUCUGUAGCAAGGUUAACCGAAUAGGGGAGCCGAAGGGAAACCGAGUCUUAACUGGGCGUUAAGUUGCAGGGUAUAGACCCGAAACCCGGUGAUCUAGCCAUGGGCAGGUUGAAGGUUGGGUAACACUAACUGGAGGACCGAACCGACUAAUGUUGAAAAAUUAGCGGAUGACUUGUGGCUGGGGGUGAAAGGCCAAUCAAACCGGGAGAUAGCUGGUUCUCCCCGAAAGCUAUUUAGGUAGCGCCUCGUGAAUUCAUCUCCGGGGGUAGAGCACUGUUUCGGCAAGGGGGUCAUCCCGACUUACCAACCCGAUGCAAACUGCGAAUACCGGAGAAUGUUAUCACGGGAGACACACGGCGGGUGCUAACGUCCGUCGUGAAGAGGGAAACAACCCAGACCGCCAGCUAAGGUCCCAAAGUCAUGGUUAAGUGGGAAACGAUGUGGGAAGGCCCAGACAGCCAGGAUGUUGGCUUAGAAGCAGCCAUCAUUUAAAGAAAGCGUAAUAGCUCACUGGUCGAGUCGGCCUGCGCGGAAGAUGUAACGGGGCUAAACCAUGCACCGAAGCUGCGGCAGCGACACUAUGUGUUGUUGGGUAGGGGAGCG
rnacentral:rRNA from 1 species